AACUCGAAGCAGCGGAAUAACUCUAGCAGCGGAACAACGACGACGGUGGUGAACUCCACUCCGCAGGGACUCUGGCUGGAACGCUUAUCCUAGCUCGCAAACAAGGACUCCACGGCAAACAAGCAAUCAAAUCCGGAAUGACCUGCUAACUGGCAUGACACGCCAGGUCAGUACAUUGAAUGUACUUGCAAGCUCACAAUAACCAGAAGCAUUCAAGACAAACAACAGCAUGUCAAUUACAGGUUAAGCAGGGAUUAUCAUGAGAUCAUCAGGCUAACGUGGCAUGAACAACAUGAACAUGAUACAGCUAGAACAAUAUGAGCCUGGCAUGACCAUAUAAAUCUGACGAUGCUAGCAUGCAAUAUGAUGACACUAUAUGCACCACUUAUUCUUCUCGGGUUACCUCGUAACCAUCACAUACAUCACUUACCAACCUCGGACGUCACACGAUCAUCUCAGGAUCAAAUCAAGCUUGGUAUAAACAAUACCGUAGUAAUCAUUAAAUGACCACAAGGAGCUUGAUCGUUACCCACGAUUCUCGCACAACAUAACGAAUAUACAACGACUCGGUAUCCUCGAUACCACCAUGAUCCUUACGGCGAUCACAACCCCGGGUUGUCAUUAAUCAAGUUAUUCUUAUUACUAUUGACUCACGGUGUGACCUACUUUCGAACUGGGCCCUUAUCCGCGGGCGUGGCUAUCGAUAGAUUUAAUAUACACUCUGCAGAGGUUAGUACACUGUACCCACACUACGGAACCUGUCGUGGAUAUGGGACACGGGUAUCCUCAUGGAGGUAGCCCGCGGCCCAUCAUGGGAGGUGGCCCAGCAGGCCGACUUAAACACUUUGAAUAAGACCUGGAUUGCUAUCCAUCUUGUAAUUGAAAAGAGACUAGUCCUAAUCCUACUAGGACUCUACAUGUAAGCCGGCCCCUUCAACUUAUAUAAGGAGGGGCAAGGCUCCCCAAGAGGGACAAGUAAGAAGCUCAAUAAUCUCUAGGGCUAGACACAACUAGAGGAGAGCCGGCUUAUACAGCGACUCCCUCAUGAGCAUACGGAAUAAGACCUAGCCACAAACAACAUGUAGGGUUAUUACCGGAUGAUGUUUCCCGGGGCCUGAAGCUGUCUAAAUCCUUGUCUUGUGUUGCGUCUCUCGAUUCCGCUCAACCCCUCUCAAGCUACCACAUAGAUGCGUUGGCCUCGCGACUAAGUCCUGACACUAAGGACAUCUGCCGUGACAAUUCCACGACAGUUGGCGCCCACCGUGGGGCUUGCGCACGGUGGUGUUGAGUUCUUGGAGGGAUAUUUUCUCAGGGUUUCGGGAAGCUCGUGAUUGGUCAGAUGAAGAAAAAGUGGUUUGAUUAUCAGAAUCAUGAUUAAAUUUGGAGUUUACAGUGCGAAGUUUUGAGAUCAAGAGGAUAAAGGUUUCUAUUGUUUGGGUCGUCAGACGGGACGAUAUCCGUCUAAACCGCAGCUGCGCCAAAUCCGAGAUGGAAGGUGUUAAUCUGUGGUACGUAUACGGACAAAACGAUCCAAGGCUACAGCCGGAUCCGCCGAGUUCCCCUACUCCUCCUCGCCUCCUUCAAGUCCCGAAGAGACCACCAGCUAUUACGCAAUUUUUGGUACAGCCUACUGCCCCUGUGAUAUUAAAAGGUUUUGCUGCCGCCGAUUCCAACAACUGAUCAUCAAUCGAGAAAUAGUACUAUAAUGCUACUGCUCCUCACGUGGUGGUCAAGGUUGAUCCACAAGAUUAAAUUUUUUGUCUCCUGUUGCACUACACGCGAUGCUAGUACCAAUUUAGUACAGACCAGAUUUUUGGGUUUUCAAAACACUGCCUACUAUCGGAAACAUCAAUGCAGGAUUCCAGUGUGCAAACGAUUGAACGAGACGGUCAAACCAACUACGACCCGGUUCAUAUUGCCUUCAAGCCAGCUCCGCCUCUGGGCCGUUCACUGCCGCGUCCGUCGUCGUUUCUGAACCGGCCACUGCUAUGCCAAGUCAACACCAGAGCCUCGCCUUGGCUUUGCUCCUCAGCCGUGGUGCCACAUCAGUCUGCUUUAGCCGUGGAUUUCGAGCUGCCACUGCACUCGCCUCGCCACCUCUAUCGCGGUCGUCUCUGAGCCGCGUCGGAUCGUCCCCUGCCGGAGCUCCGCUGUUAAACCGCCUUAUUAAGCAGUAUUGGCACAGCCAUCUGCAAGUCACUGUUGAGACCGCUUUGCCUUCGUCGACCCGCGUCGCUUCUUCUAAAGUGCCUCCGCGGUGGCCGCCUCACGCCGCCGCCGUCACAUAACGAGCCUGUCGCACCCCGGGCCGCCUUUGUUUGUUGGGGAUCGUAGCAGAAAUUUAAAAUUUUCUACGUAUCACCAAGAUCAAUCUAUGGAGUCAUCUAGCAAUGAGAGAGAGGGGAGUGCAUCCACAUACCCUUGUAGAUCGCGCGCGGAAGCGUUCAAGAGAACGGGGUUGAUGGAGUCGUACUCGUCGUGAUCCAAAUCCCCGAUGAUCCUAGCGCCGAACGGACGGCACCUCCGUGUUCAACACACGUACGGAGCGGGGACGUCUCCUCCUUCUUGAUCCAGCAAGGGGGGAGGAGAAGUUGAUGGAGAUCCAGCAGCGCGACGGCGUGGUGGUGGAAGUAGCGGGAUCCCGGUAGGGCUUUGCCAAGCGCAAGCGGGGAGGAAGAGGUGUCACGGGAGGGAGGGAGGCGCCAGGGCUUGGGGUGCUGCUCCCAUGCGCCUCCCCACUAUAUAUAGGGGUGGAGGGGGCUGGUUUCUUGCCCUCCAAGUCCAUUGGGGCGUUGGCAAAGGUGGGGGAAAGAAAUCCCAUCAUUUUCCUUCCCCACCGAUUGUUAUCCCCCUUUUUUAGGGAUCUUGAUCUUAUCCCUUUGGGAUAUGAUCUUAUUCCUUCUAAGGUGGGACCUUGGUGCGCCUCCGGACCAUUCCGGAACUCCUCGUGACGUCCGGGAUCUCAUCCGAGACUCCAAACAACUUUCGGUUAACCGCAUACUAAUAUCUCUACAACUCUAGCGUCACCGAACCUUAAGUGUGUAGACCCUACGGGUUCGGGAGACAUGCAGACAUGACUGAGACGACUCUCCGGUCAAUAACCAACAGCGGGAUCUAGAUACCCAUGUUGGCUCCCACAUGUUCCACGAUGAUCUCAUCAGAUGAACCACGAUGUCGAGGAUUCAAUCAAUCCCGUAUACAAUUACCUUUGUCAAUCGGUACGUUACUUGCCCGGGAUUCGAUCGUCGGUAUCCCAAUACCUUGUUCAAUCUCGUUACCGGCAAGUCACUUUACUCGUACCGUAAUGCAUGAUCCCCUGACCAAACACUUGGUCACAUUGAGCUCAUUAUGAUGAUGCAUUACCGAGUGGGCCCAGAGAUACCUCUCCGUCAUACGGAGUGACAAAUCCCAGUCUCGAUUCGUGCCAACCCAACAGACACUUUCGGAGAUACCCGUAGUGCACCUUUAUAGCCACCCGGUUACGUUGUGACGUUUGGCACGCCCAAAGCACUCCUAUGGUAUCCGGGAGUUGCACAAUCUCAUGGUCUAAGGAAAUGAUACUUGACAUUUGGAAAAGCUCUAGCAAACGAACUACACAAUCUUGUGCUAUGCUUAGGAUUGGGUCUUGUCCAUCACAGCAUUCUCCUAAUGAUGUGAUCCCGUUAUCAAUGACAUCCAAUGUCCAUAGUCAGGAAACCAUGACUAUCUGUUGAUCAUCGAGCUAGUCAACUAGAGGCUCACUAGGGACAUGUUGUGGUCUAUGUAUUCACACAUGUAUUACGACUUCCGGAUAACACAAUUAUAGCAUGAACAAUAGACAAUUAUCAUGAACAAGGAAAUAUAAUAAUAACCAUUUUAUUAUUGCCUCUAGGGCAUAUUUCCAACAGUCUCCGACUUGCACUAGAGUCAAUAAUCUAGUUACAUUGUGAUGAAUUGAACACCCAUAGAGUUCUGGUGUUGAUCAUGUUUUGCUCUAGCGAGAGGUUUAGUCAACGGAUCUGCUACAUUCAGGUCCGUAUGUACUUUACAAAUAUCUAUGUCUCCAUUUUAAACAUUUUCACGAAUGGAGUUGAAGCGACGCUUGAUAUGCCUGGUCUUCCUGUGAAACCUGGGCUCCUUGGCAAGGGCAAUAUCUCGAGUGUUGUCACGGAAGAGAGUUAUCGGGCCCGACGCAUUGGGAAUAACUCCUAGGUCCGUAAUGAACUCCUUCACCCAGAUUGCUUCUUGUGCUGCCUCUGAGGCCGCCAUGUAUUCCGCUUCACAUGUAGAUCCUGCCACAACGCUUUGCUUGCAACUGCACCAGCUUACUGCCCCACCAUUCAAAAUAUAAACGUAUCCGGUUUGUGACUUAGAGUCAUCCAGAUCUGUGUCGAAGCUAGCAUCAACGUAACCCUUUACGACGAGCUCUUCGUCACCUCCAUAAACGAGAAACAUAUCCUUAGUCCUCUUCAGGUACUUCAAGAUAUUCUUGACCGCUGUCCAGUGUUCCAUGCCGGGAUUACUUUGGUACCUUCCUACCAAACUUACGGCAAGGUUUACAUCAGGUCUGGUACACAGCAUGGCAUACAUAAUAGACCCUAUGGCCGAGGCAUAGGGGACGACACUCAUCUUUUCUCUAUCUUCUGCCGUGGUCGGGCAGUGAGCCGUGCUCAAUUGCACACCUUGCAAUACAGGCAAGAACCCCUUCUUGGACUGAUCCAUAUUGAACUUCUUCAAUAUCUUGUCAAGGUACGUACUUUUUGAAAGACCAAUGAGGCGUCUUGAUCUAUCUCUAUAGAUCUUGAUGCCUAAUAUAUAAGCAGCUUCUCCAAGGUCCUUCAUUGAAAAACACUUGUUCUAGUAGGCCUUUAUGCUUCCCAAGAAUUCUAUAUCAUUUCCCAUCAACAGUAUGUCAUCCACAUAUAAUAUGAGAAAUGCUACAGAGCUCCCACUCACUUUCUUGUAAACACAGGCUUCUCCAUAAGUCUGUGUAAACCCAAACGCUUUGAUCAUCUCAUCAAAUCGAAUGUUCCCACUCCGAGAUGCUUGCACCAGCCCAUAGAUGGAGUGCUGGAGCUUGCAUACCUUGUUAGUAUUCUUAGGAUCGACAAAACCUUCCGGCUGCAUCAUAUACAAUUCUUCCUUAAGAAAACCGUUAAGGAAUGUCGUUUUGAUGUCCAUUUGCCAUAUCUCAUAAUCAUAGUAUGCGGCAAUUGCUAACAUGAUUCGGACGGACUUCAGCUUCGCUACGGGUGAGAAAGUCUCAUCGUAGUCAACCCCUUGAACUUGUCGAUAACCCUUAGCGACAAGUCGAGCUUUAUAGAUGGUAACAUUACCAUCCGCGUCUGUCUUCUUCUUAAAGAUCCAUUUGUUUUCUAUCGCUCGCCGAUCAUCGGGCAAGUCUGUCAAAGUCCACACUUUGUUUUCAUACAUGGAUCCUAUCUCGGAUUGCAUUGCUUCAAGCCAUUUGUUGGAAUCUGGGCCCGCCAUUGCUUCUUCAUAGUUCGAAGGUUCACCGUUGUCUAACAACAUGAUUUCCAAGACAGGGUUGCCAUACCUCUCUGGCGCGGAACGUGUCCUUGUGGACCUACGAAGUUGAGUAGGAGCUUGAUCCGAAGUACCUUGAUCAUCAUCAUCAUUAACUUCCUCUCUAGUCGGUGCAGGCACCACAGGAAAAUCUUCCUGAGCUGCGCUACUUUCCGGUUCAAGAGGUAGUACUUCAUCAAGUUCCACCUUCCUCCCACUUACUUCUUUCGAGAGAAACUCUUUCUCCAGAAAGGACCCGUUCUUGGCAACAAAGAUUUUGCCUUCGGAUCUGAGGUAGAAGGUAUACCCAAUGGUUUCCUUAGGGUAUCCUAUGAAGACGCAUUUUUCCGACUUGGGUUCGAGCUUUUCAGGUUGAAGUUUCUUGACAUAAGCAUCGCAUCCCCAAACUUUUAGAAACGAUAGCUUAGGUUUCUUCCCAAACAAUAAUUCAUACGUUGUUGUCUCAACGGAUUUCGACGGAGCCCUAUUUAAAGUGAAUGCGGCAGUCUCUAAAGCAUAGCCCCAAAAUGAGAGCGGUAGAUCGGGAAGAGACAUCAUAGAUCGCACCAUAUCCAAUAGAGUGCGAUUACGACGUUCGGACACACCAUUUCGAUGAGGUGUUCCAGGCGGCGUGAGUUGUGAAACUAUUCCACAUUUCCUUAAGUGUGUGCCAAAUUCAUGACUCAAAUAUUCCCCUCCAUGAUCUGAUCGUAAGAACUUUAUUUUCCUGUCAUGUUGAUUCUCAACCUCACUCUGAAAUUCCUUGAACUUUUCAAAGGUCUCAGACUUGUGUUUCAUUAGGUAGACAUACCCAUAUCUACUCAAGUCAUCAGUGAGAGUGAGAACAUAACGAUAGCCACCGUGAGCCUCAACACUCAUUGGACCGCACACAUCAGUAUGUAUGAUUUCCAAUAAGUUGGUUGCUCGCUCCAUUGUUCCGGAGAACGGAGUCUUGGUCAUCUUAACCAUGAGGCAUGGUUCGCACGUGUCGAACGAUUCGUAAUCAAGAGACUCCAAAAGUCCAUCUGCAUGGAGCUUCUUCAUGCGUUUGACACCAAUGUGACCAAGACGGCAGUGCCACAAGUAUGUGGGACUAUCAUUAUGAACCUUACAUCUUUUGGUAUUCACACUAUGAAUAUGUGUAACACUACGUUCGAGAUUCAUUAAGAAUAAACCAUUAACCAGCGGGGCAUGACCAUGAAACAUAUCUCUCAUAUAAAUAGAACAACCAUUAUUCUCGGAUUUAAAUGAGUAGCCAUCUCGAAUUAAACGAGAUCCUGAUACAAUGUUCAUGCUCAAAGCUAGCACUAAAUAACAAUUAUUGAGGUUUAAAACUAAUCCCGUAGGUAAAUGUAGAGGUAGCGUGCCAACGGCGAUCACAUCGACCUUGGAACCAUUCCCGACGCGCAUCGUCACCUCGUCCUUUGCCAGUCUCCGUUUAUUCCGCAGCUCCUGCUUUGAGUUACAAAUAUGAGCAACCGCACCGGUAUCAAAUACCCAGGAGCUACUACGAGUGCUGGUAAGGUACACAUCAAUAACAUGUAUAUCACAUAUACCUUUGGUGUUGCCGGCCUUCUUGUCUGCCAAGUACUUGGGGCAGUUCCGCUUCCAGUGACCACUUCCCUUGCAAUAAAAGCACUCCGUCUCAGUCUUGGGUCCAUUCUUUGGCUUCUUCCCGGCAACUGGCUUACUGGGCGCGGCAACUCCCUUGCCGUCCUUCUUGAAGUUCUUCUUACCCUUGCCUUUCUUGAACUUAGUGGUUUUAUUCACCAUCAACACUUGAUGUUCCUUUUUGAUCUCCACCUCCGCUGAUUUUAGCAUUGAAUAUACCUCAGGAAUGGUCUUUUCCAUCCCCUGCAUAUUGAAGUUCAUCACAAAGCUCUUGUAGCUCGGUGGAAGCGACUGAAGGAUUCUGUCAAUGACCGCGUCAUCCGGGAGAUUAACUCACAGCUGAGUCAAGCAGUUGUGUAACCCAGACAUUUUGAGUAUGUGCUCACUGACAGAACUAUUUUCCUUCAUCUUACAACUGAAGAACUUGUCGGAGACUUCAUAUCUCUCGACCUGGGCAUGAGCUUGGAAAACCAUUUUCAGCUCUUCGAAGAUCUCAUAUGCUCCGUGUUGCUCAAAACGCUUUUGGAGCCCCGGUUCUAAGCUGUAAAGCAUGCCGCACUGAACGAGGGAGUAAUCAUCAGCAUGCUGCUGCCAAGCAUUCAUAACGUCUUGGUUCUCUGGGAUGGGUGCGUCACCUAGCGGUGCUUCUAGGACAUAAUCUUUCUUGGCAGCAAUGAGGAUGAUCCUCAGGUUCCAGACCCAGUCCGUAUAGUUGCUGCCAUCAUCUUUCAGUUUGGUUUUCUCUAGGAACGCGUUGAAGUUGAGGGCAACAUUAGCGUGGGCCAUUUGAUAUACAAGACAUAUUGUAAAUAUUUUAGACUAAGUUCAUGAUAAUUAAGUUCAUCUAAUCAAAUUAUUCAAUGAACUCCCACUCAGAUAGACAUCCCUCUAGUCAUCUAAGUGAAACAUGAUCCGAGUCAACUAGGCCGUGUCCGAUCAUCACGUGAGACGGACUAGUCAAUAUCGGUGAACAUCUUCAUGUUGAUCGUAUCUUCUAUACGACUCAUGCCCGACCUUUCGGUCUUCCGUGUUCCGAGGCCAUGUCUGUACAUGCUAGGCUCGUCAAGUCAACCUAAGUGUAUUGCGUGUGUAAAUCUGGCUUACACCCGUUGUAUUCGAACGUUAGAAUCUAUCACACCCGAUCAUCACGUGGUGCUUUGAAACAACGAACCUUCGCAACGGUGCACAGUUAGGGGGAACACUUUCUUGAAAUUAUUGCGAGGGAUCAUCUUAUUUAAGCUACCGUCGUUCUAAGCAAAUAAGAUGUAAAACAUGAUAAACAUCACAUGCAAUCAAAUAGUGACAUGAUAUGGCCAGUAUCAUAUUGCUCCUUUGAUCUCCAUCUUCGGGGCGCCAUGAUCAUCUUCGUCACCGGCAUGACACCAUGAUCUCCAUCAUCAUGAUCUCCAUCAUCGUGUCUUCAUGAAGUUGUCACGCCAACGAUUACUUCUACUUCUAUGGCUAACGUGUUUAGCAAUAAAGUAAAGUAAUUUACAUGGCGUUAUUCAAUGACACGCAGGUCAUACAAAAAAUAAAGACAACUCCUAUGGCUCCUGCCGGUUGUCAUACUCAUCGACAUGCAAGUCGUGAUUCCUAUUACAAGAACAUGAUCAAUCUCAUACAUCACAUAUAUUUCAUUCAUCACAUCCUUUUGGCCAUAUCACAUCACAAGGCAUAUGCUGCAAAAACAAGUUAGACGUCCUCUAAUUGUUGUUGCAUGUUUUACGUGGCUUCUAUAGGUUUCUAGGAAGAACGUUUCUUACCUACGUAAAACCACAACGUGAUAUGCCAACUUCUAUUUACCCUUCAUAAGGACCCUUUUCAUCGAAUCCGAUUCGACUAAAGUGGGAGAGACAGACACCCGCUAGCCACCUUAUGCAACUAGUGCAUGUCAGUCGGUGGAACCUGUCUCACGUAAGCGUACGUGUAAGGUCGGUCCGGGCCGCUUCAUCCCACGAUGCCGCCGAAACAAGAUAAGACUAGUAGUGGCAAGAAAAUUGACAACAUCUACGCCCACAACAAGUUUGUGUUCUACUCGCGCAUAGAAACUACGCAUAGACCUAGCUCAUGAUGCCACUGUUGGGGAUCGUAGCAGAAAUUUAAAAUUUUCUACGUAUCACCAAGAUCAAUCUAUGGAGUCAUCUAGCAACGAGAGAGAGGGGAGUGCAUCUACAUACCCUUGUAGAUCGCGCGCGGAAGCGUUCAAGAGAACGGGGUUGAUGGAGUCGUACUCGUCGUGAUCCAAAUCACCGAUGAUCCUAGCGCCGAACGGACACCUCCGCGUUCAACACACGUACGGAGUGGGGACGUCUCCUCCUUCUUGAUCCAGCAAGGGGGGAGGAGAAGUUGAUGGAGAUCCAGCAGCACGACGCCGUGGUGGUGGAAGUAGCGGGAUCCCGGCAGGGCUUCGCCAAGCGCAAGCGUGGAGGAAGAGGUGUCACGGGAGGGAGGGAGGCGCCAGGGCUUGGGGUGCUGCUCCCAUGCGCCUCCCCACUAUAUAUAUGGGUGGAGGGGGCUGGUUUCUUGCCCUCCAAGUCUAUUGGGGCGUUGGCAAAGGUGGGGGAAAGAAAUCCCAUCAUUUCCCUUCCCCACCGAUUGUUAUCCCCCUUUUUUAGGGAUCUUGAUCUUAUCCCUUCGGGAUAUGAUCUUAUUCCUUCUAAGGUGGGAUCUUGGUGCGCCUUGACCAGGGGUGUGGGGCCUUGCCCCCACUACCCACGUUCAUGUGGGUCCCCCCAUGCAGGUGGGCCCCACUUCGGAACCUUCUAGAACCUUCCCGGUACAAUACCGAAAAAUCCCAAACAUUUUUCGGUGGCCAAAAUAGGACAUCCCAAAUAUAAAUCCUUACCUCCGGACCAUUCCGGAACACCUCGUGACGUCCGGGAUCUCAUCCGGGACUCCGAACAACUUUCUGUUAACCGCAUACUAAUAUCUCUACAACUCUAGCGUCACCGAACCUUAAGUGUGUAGACCCUACGGGUUCGGGAGACAUGCAGACAUGACUGAGACGACUCUCCGGUCAAUAACCAACAGCGGGAUCUGGAUACCCAUGUUGGCUCCCACAUGUUCCACGAUGAUCUCAUCAGAUGAACCACGAUGUCGAGGAUUCAAUCAAUCCCGUAUACAAUUACCUUUGUCAAUCGGUACGUUACUUGCCCGAGAUUCGAUCGUCGGUAUCCCAAUACCUUGUUCAAUCUCGUUACCGACAAGUCACUUUACUCGUACCGUAAUGCAUGAUCCCCUGACCAAACACUUGGUCACAUUGAGCUCAUUAUGAUGAUGCAUUACCGAGUGGGCCCAGAGAUACCUCUCCGUCAUACGGAGUGACAAAUCCCAGUCUCGAUUCGUGCCAACCCAACAGACACUUUCGGAGAUACCCGUAGUGCACCUUUAUAGCCACCCGGUUACGUUGUGACGUUUGGCACACCCAAAGCACUCCUAUGGUAUCCGGGAGUUGCACAAUCUCAUGGUCUAAGGAAAUGAUACUUGACAUUUGGAAAAGCUCUAGCAAACGAACUACACGAUCUUGUGCUAUGCUUAGGAUUGGGUCUUGUCCAUCACAUCAUUCUACUAAUGAUGUGAUCCCGUUAUCAAUGACAUCCAAUGUCCAUAGUCAGGAAACCAUGACUAUCUGUGGAUCAACGAGCUAGUCAACUAGAGGCUCAAGAGGGACAUGUUGUGGUCUAUGUAUUCACACAUGUAUUACGAUUUCGGUAACACAAUUAUAGCAUGAACAAUAGACAAUUAUCAUGAACAAGGAAAUAUAAUAAUAACCAUUUUAUUAUUGCCUCUAGGGCAUAUUUCCAACAUUGUUGACCCGCCUAGCUGCUUCUGCCGCGAUCCUACCGGCGCGCCAAGUUGCGAGUUGCGCUGCUCGCGCCACUACACGCCCCGUCCGUGCAACUCGCCCUGCUCUACAAGCCUCUGCGUGCCCAAGUCCUUCGGUUUUCUGUGGCCUUCGAGCACCUCUGCUCCACCAAGAUGCGACGCCUCCAAGCUCGCGACCGCUGACCUGUUUUUAAACGCCGCUUUAAGUCGGUCUUACCAAGCCGUCUGAAUCCACCGCUGCUGCAACAAACAGAGCAGCAAGGGAGCUGCAGGGGCAAUAGCCCAACGUAGUGAGGUUGUUACGCCAUGGCAUCGCGCUGCGUCAAGUCACCAGAGGAAAAAGGCAUAAAAAAAGGGGGCAGCUGCCUUGUCCAUCAUUGAAAAGAAAGAGGAAGAGAAAGACAGAUUAACAGGCAUGCAUGGGACAUCCACUAGUGGCACGCCCCCGAAACAACCAUUGAUUUUCCAAAGCAUCUCACGUGAAAAGUGCUACCACGGUCUGCCUAUGUAUCGUCUGUUAAAUUGACGUCUGGCGCACGAUUGUACACAGAUCAUCAGGUGAUAUUCAUCUAAGUCUAUUUCUAGUACAUAUUGUUUUUUUGUCAAAGAACAAUUACUUUCUCUGUAUAUUCUUAUAUAUGCAGGGCAAUGAUUCAUCGUUUACUGUUGGACGGGUGUGCGCAAGCCGCCGCCCGUGCAGUUCGAUCUACAUCAACUCGCUAGAAUCGCCCGCGAUUGACUGGUCCUCCGUGCGGCUUCGCGCGCCCGCGAUUGACUUAUCGUCCGCACCCGCGGCUAAGCCAUUUCCAACGCUGCUGCCGGAUCUCCCCGUCCGCACCGGCUUACAACGCCGCGCCCGACUCUCACGUCCGAACCGGCUUAUAAUGCCGCGGCCGACUCACCCGUGAGUGAUUACAGUUUCACCUAGUAAUCAUCAACUCCACGGCGGAUAAUUUCCGGCCUAACAUAUCAGGUGACAUCUAUCUAAGUCUAAUUUUGACACAUAUUGUUUUUUGUCAAAAGAACAAUUACUUUGGACCGUAUAUUUUGAUAUGCAGGGCAAUUAUUCAUUACAAAACAUGGUUUAUACCGUGGGUACGGAGUACGCGCUGGCAACGUCCUGCCCGGUGUUCGUCCGUGUCACAUUACACGAUGAAUGGACGCAUGCAAGACGCCGCCCUUACGGCCCGGUUUAUAUCAGCUUGCCGGGGCCGCGCCUGUGUUUGACUCGCCCGUCCGUACUGGCUUACAACGCCGUGACCGACUCAUCUAUCUAUAUCACCUCUGAUGCUGCGGUCGUCUUUUUCGUCCGUCUCUCGCGGCCUGGUCUACCUCAGCAUACCGGGCCGCACCUGUCUGCGUAAGCUGAUUAUUGAAUAUGAGCAAGUCACUGCUUGGGAAGCCCGGUUUUCUUCCAACAACUUGGAGGAAAAUUAUCAUGUGUUAUCAGCCGCCGUAUGCACCGGACGGCUCAAUAGGCAGGCGCACAAACCGCCGCCACUAUAGUUUGGUUAACUUCAAAACAUCCAGUUGGAAGGAACCAUUGGCCGAGUUGCUGACCUAGCUCAUACAUGAUCAUUUAUAACCCGCCGCAGUCACCUCAACUUUCUAUGGAUUCACAUCGCGCUAUCAACACCAAUGAUAUACACCUUAUGCUAUGGUCAAUAUAGAGAAUCUCAAAGCCAACUCCUCGAGUCGUCUUGAGACUCGGGGGCUACAAUGAUAUGACUCGGCAGCAUUGGUCGGUUUCAAUGCAUUCAAGAACUCCGGGUCAUUGGAGGGAAAAAUAACCCGGUCCCGGAGGCUACCGCCAUAUUGGUAAAAAGUUUAAAGGCCGUCAGAAAAUUUCCGGCUUAAAAAGAAGGAUUCCGGUUUAGAUCCGGCUCAAGAGACUUGACAUCUCCCACAAAGCAUUGAAGCUCUUAAAAUAUCCGGUUUAAAAUCCGAUUCAAGGGAAAUUUAUCUGCCACAAAGUUUUGAAGCUCUCAAAUCCGGUUCAAGGUAAAUUUGUUUAUCAUAAAGCUUUGAAAUUAUCAAUAUCCUGUUUUUUUCGGUUCAAAAAGAAUUUAUCUCUCGCAAAAGUUCGAGUUCUCAGGAAAAAUUAAAGGGACCAAAGAGAGUCUGUUACAAAGCACAACUCAAAUAUAGGUACCCUGCUUUAAUGACCACUGGGAGCUGAUCGUAUUCGAAUUUAGCUUAACCCUUUGGGUGUGACCCUGAUCGUAUUCGAAUCAGAAUCGUUAAAUAUUAUCAUGAUCACUAGGGGGCUUCCUGUUCAAACAUAGGUCGUAUUCGAACCAAAGAGAACAUAGCUGUCGGUACCCUCUUGAUCGGCACACUGCCGAGCUCACUAGGGGGUUUCUUGAUCGUAUUCGAAUCAUAGCUCAACCCCUUUUGGGAACCGACGUGGAUCGUAUUCGAAUCAGCGUCAUUAAACAAUUCUCAAGGUCAUUUGGGGGCUUCCUGUUCAAACAUAGGCCGUAUUCGAACCAAAGAGAACAUAGCUGUCGGUACCCUCUUGAUCGGCAACGCCAAAGCCACUGGGGGCUAUAUGAUCGUAUUCGAAUCUUAGCUUGACCCCUUUGGGACGGUUUUCUGAUCGUAUUCGAAUCAGAAGCCUCAAAUUUUUUUGAAGUCUCUUUUCUGCAAACAUUUUUUGGAUUUUAUUUGAAGCUCUUUUGAUCAUAUCUAAAGUGUAUAUGAGUGGUUGCUAUUUAACCCGGUUUGACUUUGGAUGAUAAGUCGCCAUCAUAUGACAAUCAUAAACAUUUGGAAGUCUUGAUUUCUAAAGAUUGGGUUAUCACCCUUACUGCGUAGGUCACAUAAACCGACAGUGAAAAUUCAAUAUCACAGGUAUAAUAUUAUUAUUAUAGUUAUGUUUCAAAGUUAUGGUUCAUAACAGGCUUAUCUGUGACUCUUUGUUACACAUCAAUGGUUAUAUGUGGGAUAUUAUGACCCGCCCUGCGGUAAACCGCCAAGGGAUCUUGUGAUCUAAUUAUGUGCAGGAUAAGACUAUAUUUGGGUGGUUACCCGCCCUGGUUUUUGACGUUAAGUUGCCAGGGCAUAUGUUGUUUAAACUCUGCAGGAUUUACAGAGCUAUGACUUACAUAAAUGAUUAAAUCCUAGCCCAUCAUCAAAGAUGGAAAUUGGUGUCUCAAAAGGGUUAUCAAUUCUUGAUUUUCUCAAAGGCUCUAAGCCGCCGGGUUGUACAAAUUCCGGCUUACAAUGGAGGCGUAUUAAAUCGCCAUCAGCCAAGAGCCGCCGGGUAUUUAAGCUCCGGAAUUAAUUAUCAACAGAUGAGGUAUUCAAAGUCACUGUGGCACAAUGGCUAUUAUUUUAUCAAUGCAUAUGAUUUAUUCUACAGUGGAAGGAAUAGUCCUGAGUCACUGCAGGCUUACGACCCGGCACUUGGGGGCUACAUUAUUCAAUUUGAUAUUACAUCGAAUAUACAAGUCCCACGUCACUGCCAGCAUGUACCAUGGCACUUGGGGGCUAAUGCAAAGUCAUUUUUAGCUCAACUUAUUGAAGACCCGAAUCAUCACAUUCUAAAUGAGCCGGCCCUUGGGGGCUACCAAUUGGUCCUGUCAAAAGUUCAAUGUACACAAGCAUUAAUCCGUUAUAUUGAACUGUCCACUAUUCAGUUGGUAGAGUACAAAGCUCUUAACCUUGUGGACGUGGGUUCAAGCCCCAUGGUGGAGUUUGUAUUAUAUGAUGUUAUUAUCAAUAAAUUAUAUACAAAGUCCCAGCUCAGUAUUAUCUUACUAAGCCGGCCCUUGGGGGCUACACAUUGAUGUUCAAGUUUACAUGGUUAUAUCUACAAAGUCCCUGCUCAUUAUUGCAUAAUGACCCGGCCCUUGGGGGCUACACUGGUUGAAGUUUUCAUGAGCAUAAGACAAUUACAAGUCACAGGUUGCUGCAAGCAUGACAACCCGGCACUUGGGGGCUACAGGUGAUAUGCAUAUAAGGGAGAAAAAUCUUCAAAUUCUCAGUUUGGAGCAGACCAGAUUAACCCGGUGUCUGCAGCAAUCAUGACCCGGCAUCAUUUAUUUAUAACCCGACAAUUUUAGCAAUCAUAAAUCGGCAAGAUCUACAUCUUUAAGCCGGCUGAAUAUCAGUUGAAUAUUUCAAGACCAAUAUUUUUGUCAAGUCAGAGCUUUGAAGGCUGACUCAAAUGGAUUAUUUCUUAUAAUAUUUCUCUACAAGAGCCAAUGUCAGCAAAUUGGUUAUGAAGCUGGCCUAUUGACCUGGAUUUUUUAGAAGAAGUGUCUGGAUUUUUUGCAUUGGCAAGGUUUGGACAUAUCUGUUUAAAGAGAUUUGCUACAAGAUCUUGAGUAUGCAUCCAGGAGGAAAAUGACAAGGACUUAAAGAUGAUCAGGUGCCGGUUCAGGAAAAUAUUGUUGGGUAACGUAGUAAUUUCAAAAAAAUUCUACGCACACGCAAGAUCAUGGUGAUGCAUAGCAACGAGAGGGGAGAGUGUUGUCCACGUACCCUCGUAGACCGAAAGCGGAAGCGUUAACACAACGCGGUUGAUGUAGUCGUACGUCUUCACGAUCCGACCGAUCAAGUACCGAACGCACGGCACCUCCGAGUUCAGCUCACGUUCAGCUCGAUGACGUCCCUCGAACUCCUAUCCAGCCGAGUGUUGAGGGAGAGUUUCGUCAGCACGACGGCGUGGUGACAAUGAUGAUGUUCUACCGACGCAGGGCUUCGCCUAAGCACCGCUACGAUAUUAUCGAGGUGUAAUAUGGUGGAGAGGGGCACCGCACACGGCUAAGAGAUCAAUGAUCAAUUGUGUGUUUACAGGUGCCCCCUGUCCCCUUAUAUAAAGGAGCAAGGGGGGUUCGGCCGGCCAAGGGGAGAGGCGCGCCAGGAGGAGUCCUACUCCUACCGGGAGUAGGACUCCCCCCCUUUUCCAUGUUGGACUAGGAGAGAGAGGGGGAAGAGGUGGAGGGGAGGAAGGAAGGGGGGCGCCGCCCCCCUCUCCUUGUCCUAUUCGGACUGGGGGAGGGGCGUGUGGCCCUGCCCUGGCCUCCUCUCCUCUCUUCCACCUAGGCCCACUAAGGCCCAUUAAGUUACCGGGGGGUUCCGGUAACCUCCCGGUACUCCGGAAAAAUCCCGAUUUCACCCGGAACACUUCCGAUAUCCAAACACAGGCUUCCAAUAUAUCAAUCUUUAUGUCUCGACCAUUUCAAGACUCCACGUCAUGUCCGUGAUCACAUCCGGGACUCCGAACAACCUUCGGUACAUCAAAACAUAUAAACUCAUAAUAUAACUGUCAUCGUUACGUUAAGCGUGCGGACCCUACGGGUUCGAGAACUAUGUACACAUGACCGAGACACCCGCCAGUCACUUUAAGCAACGAGUGCUCGCAACUAACUCGUUACCGGCAAGUCUCUUUACUCGUUCCGUAAUACAUCAUCCCGCAACUAACUCAUUAGUUACAAUGCUUGCAAGGCUUAUAGUGAUGUGUAUUACUGAGUGGGCCCAGAGAUACCUUUUCGACAAUUGGAGUGACAAAUCCUAAUCUCGAAAUACGCCAACCCAACAAGUACCUUUGGAGACACCUGUAGAGCACCUUUAUAAUCACCCAGUUACGUUGUGACGUUUGGUAGCACACAAAGUGUUCCUCCGGUAAACGGGAGUUGCAUAAUCUCAUAGUCAUAGGAACAUGUAUAAGUCAUGAAUAAAGCAAUAGAAACAUACUAAACGAUCGAGUGCUAAGCUAACGGAAUGGGUCAAGUCAAUCACAUCAUUCUCCUAAUGAUGUGAUCUCGUUAAUCAAAUGACAACUCAUGUCUAUGGCUAGGAAACAUAACCAUCUUUGAUCAACGAGCUAGUCAAGUAGAGGCAUACUAGUGACACUCUUUUUGUCUAUGUAUUCACACAUGUAUUAUGUUUCCGGUUAAUACAAUUCUAGCAUGAAUAAUAAACAUUUAUCAUGAUAUAAGGAAAUAAAUAAUAACUUUAUUAUUGCCUCUAGGGCAUAUUUCCUUCAGUCUCCCACUUGCACUAGAGUCAAUAAUCUAGAUUACACAGUAAUGAUUCUUACACCCAUGGAGUCUUGGUGUUGAUCAUGUUUUGCUCGUGGAAGAGGCUUAGUCAACGGGUCUGCAACAUUCAGAUCCGUAUGUAUCUUGCAAAUUUCUAUGUCUCCCACCUGGACUAAAUCCCGGAUGGAAUUGAAGCGUCUCUUGAUGUGCUUGGUUCUCUUGCGAAAUCUGGAUUCCUUUGCUAAGGCAAUUGCACCAGUAUUGUCACAAAAGAUUUUCAUUGGUCCCGAUGCACUAGGUAUGACACCUAGAUCGGAUAUGAACUCCUUCAUCCAGACUCCUUCAUUUGCUGCUUCCGAAGCAGCUAUGCACUCCGCUUCACACGUAGAUCCCGCCACGACACUUUGCUUAGAACUGCACCAACUGACAGCUCCACCGUUCAAUGUAAACACGUAUCCGGUUUGCGAUUUAGAAUCGUCCGGAUCAGUGUCAAAGCUUGCAUCAACGUAACCAUUUAUGAUGAGCUCUUUGUCACCUCCAUAAACGAGAAACAUAUCCUUAGUCCUUUUCAGGUAUUUCAGGAUGUUCUUGACCGAUGUCCAGUGAUCCACUCCUGGAUUACUUUGGUACCUCCCUGCCAAACUUAUAACAAGGCACACAUCAGGUCUGGUACACAGCAUGGCAUACAUGAUAGAGCCUAUGGCUGAAGCAUAGGGAACAUCUUUCAUCUUCUCUCUAUCUUCUGCAGUGGUCGGGCAUUGAGUCUUACUCAAUCUCACACCUUGUAGUACAGGCAAGAACCCUUUCUUUGCUUGAUCCAUUUUGAACUUCUUCAAAACAUUGUCAAGGUAUGUGCUUCGUGAAAGUCCAAUUAAGCGUCUUGAUCUAUCUCUAUAGAUCUUGAUGCCUAAUAUAUAUGCGGCUUCACCGAGGUCUUUCAUUGAAAAACUCUUAUUCAAGUAUCCCUUUAUGCUAUCCAGAAAUUCUAUUUCAUUUCCAAUUAGUAAUAUGUCAUCCACAUAUAAUAUCAGAAAUGCUACUGAGCUCCCACUCACUUUCUUGUAAAUACAGGCUUCUCCAAAAGUCUGUAUCAAACCAAAUGCUUUGAUCACACUAUCAAAGUGUUUAUUCCAACUUCGAGAGGCUUGCACCAGUCCAUAAAUGGAUCGCUGGAGCUUGCACACUUUGUUAGCUCCCUUUGGAUCGACAAAACCUUCCGGUUGCAUCAUAUACAACUCUUCUUCCAGAAAUCCAUUCAGGAAUGCAGUUUUGACAUCCAUUUGCCAAAUUUCAUAAUCAUAAAAUGCGGCAAUUGCUAACAUGAUUCGGACAGACUUGAGCAUCGCUACGGGUGAGAAGGUCUCAUCGUAGUCAAUCCCUUGAACUUGUCGAAAACCUUUCGCAACAAGUCGAGCUUUAUAGACAGUAACAUUACCGUCAGCGUCAGUCUUCUUCUUGAAGAUCCAUUUAUUUUCAAUGGCUUGCCGAUCAUCGGGCAAGUCAACCAAAGUCCAUACUUUGUUCUCAUACAUGGAUCCCAUCUCGGAUUUCAUGGCCUCAAGCCAUUUUGCGGAAUCUGGGCUCACCAUCGCUUCUUCAUAGUUCGUAGGUUCGUCAUGGUCUAGUAACAUAACCUCCAGAAUAGGAUUACCGUACCACUCUGGUGCGGAUCUUAAUCUGGUUGACCUACGAGGUUCAGUAAUAACUUGAUCUGAAGUUUCAUGAUCAUUAUCAUUAACUUCCUCACUAAUUGGUGUAGGUGUAGCAAAAACUGGUUUCUGUGAUGAUCUACUUUCCAAUAAGGGAGCAGGUACAGUUACCUCAUCAAGUUCUACUUUCCUCCCACUCACUUCUUUCGAGAGAAACUCCUUUUCUAGAAAGGAUCCAUUCUUAGCAACGAAUGUCUUGCCUUCGGAUCUGUGAUAGAAGGUGUACCCAACAGUCUCCUUUGGGUAUCCUAUCAAGACACAUUUCUCCGAUUUAGGUUCGAGCUUAUCAGGUUGAAGUUUCUUCACAUAGGCAUCGCAACCCCAAACUUUAAGAAACGGCAACUUUGGUUUCUUGCCAAACCAUAGUUCAUAAGGCGUCGUCUCAACGGAUUUCGAUGGUGCCCUAUUUAGAGUGAAUGCAGCCAUCUCUAAAGCAUAACCCCAAAAUGAUAGCGGUAAAUCAGUAAGAGACAUCAUAGAUCGCACCAUAUCUAGUAAAGUACGAUUACGACGUUCGGACACACCAUUACCAUGUGGUGUUCCGGGUGGCGUGAGUUGCGAAACUAUUCCGCAUUGUUUCAAAUGUAGGCCAAACUCGUAACUCAAAUAUUCUCCUCCACGAUCUGAUCGUAGAAACUUUAUUUUCUUGUUAUGAUGAUUUUCAACUUCGCUCUGAAAUUUUUUGAACUUUUCAAAUGUUUCAGACUUAUGUUUCAUUAAGUAGAUAUACCCAUAUCUGCUCAAAUCAUCUGUGAAGGUGAGAAAAUAACGAUAUCCGCCACGAGCCUCAAUAUUCAUCGGACCACAUACAUCUGUAUGUAUGAUUUCCAACAAAUUAGUUGCUCUCUCCAUAGUUCCGGAGAACGUUGUUUUAGUCAUCUUGCCUAUGAGACACGGUUCGCAAGUACCAAGUGAUUCAUAAUCAAGUGAUUCCAAAAGUCCAUCAUUAUGGAGUUUCUUCAUGCGCUUUACACCGAUAUGACCUAAACGGCAGUACCACAAAUAAGUUGCACUAUCAUUAUCAACUCUGCAUCUUUUGGCUUCGACAUUAUGAAUAUGUGUGUCACUACUACCGAGAUUCAUUAAAAAUAGACCACUCUUCAAGGGUGCAUGACCAUAAAAGAUAUUACUCAUAUAAAUAGAACAACCAUUAUUCUCUGAUUUAAAUGAAUAACCGUCUCGCAUCAAACAAGAUCCAAAUAUAAUGUUCAUGCUCAACGCUGGCACCAAAUAACAAUUAUUUAGGUCUAAUAUUAAUCCCGAAGGUAGAUGUAGAGGUAGCGUGCCGACGGCGAUCACAUCGACUUUGGAACCGUUUCCCACGCGCAUCGUCACCUCGUCCUUGGCCAGUGUUCGCUUAAUCCGUAGUCCCUGUUUCGAGUUGCAAAUAUUAGCAACAGAACCAAUAUCAAAUACCCAGGUGCUACUGCGAGCUCUGGUAAGGUACACAUCAAUAACAUGUAUAUCACAUAUACCUUUGUUCACCUUGCCAUCCUUCUUAUCCGCCAAAUACUUGGGGCAGUUCCUCUUCUAGUGACCAGUCUGCUUACAGUAGAAGCAUUCAGUCUCAGGCUUAGGUCCAGAUUUGGGUUUCUUCUCCUGAACAGCAACUUGCUUGCUGUUCUUCUUGAAGUUCCCCUUCUUCUUCCCUUUGCCCUUUUUGUUGAAACUAGUGGUCUUAUUGACCAUCAACACUUGAUGCUCCUUUUUGAUUUCUACCUCCGCUGCCUUUAGCAUUGCGAAGAGCUCGGGAAUUGUCUUAUUCAUCCCUUGCAUGUUAUAGUUCAUCACGAAGCUCUUGUAGCUUGGUGGCAGUGAUUGAAGAAUUCUGUCAAUGACGCUAUCAUCUGGAAGAUUAACUCCUAGAUGAAUCAAGUGAUUGUUAUACCCAGACAUUUUGAGUAUAUGCUCACUGACAGAACUAUUCUCUUCCAUCUUGCAGCCGUAGAACUUAUUGGAGACUUCAUAUCUCUCAAUCCGGGCAUUUGCUUGAAAUAUGAACUUCAACUCCUGGAACAUCUCAUAUGCUCCAUGACGUUCAAAACGUCGUUGAAGACCCGGUUCUAAGCCGUAAAGCAUGGCACACUGAACUAUCGAGUAGUCAUCAGCUUUGCUCUGCCAGACGUUCAUAACUUCUGGUGUUGCUCUUGCAGCAGGCCUGGCACCCAGCCGUGCUUCCAGGACGUAAUUCUUCUGUGCAGCAAUGAGGAUAAUCCUCAAGUUACGGACCCAGUCCGUGUAAUUGCUACCAUCAUCUUUCAACUUUGCUUUCUCAAGGAACGCAUUAAAAUUCAAUGGAACAACAGCACGGGCCAUCUAUCUACAAUUAACAUAGACAAGCAAGAUACUAUCAGGUACUAAGUUCAUGAUAAAUUUAAGUUCUAUUAAUCAUAUUACUUAAGAACUCCCACUUAGAUAGACAUCCCUCUAAUCAUCUAAGUGUUUAUGAUCCAAAUCAACUAAACCAUAACCGAUCAUCACGUGAAAUGGAGUAGUUUUCAAUGGUGAACAUCACUAUGUUGAUCAUAUCUACUAUAGGAUUCACGCUCGACCUUUCGGUCUCAGUGUUCCGAGGCCAUAUCUGCAUAUGCUAGGCUCGUCAAGUUUAACCUGAGUAUUCUGCGUGUGCAAAACUGGCUUGCACCCGUUGUAGAUGGACGUAGAGCUUUUCACACCCGAUCAUCACGUGGUGUCUGGGCACGACGAACUUUGGCAACGGUGCAUACUCAGGGAGAACACUUUUAUCUUGAAAUUUUAGUGAGAGAUCAUCUUAUAAUGCUACCGUCAAUCAAAGCAACAUAAGAUGCAUAAAAGAUAAACAUCACAUGCAAUCAAUAUAAGUGAUAUGAUAUGGCCAUCAUCAUCUUGUGCUUGUGAUCUCCAUCUCCGAAGCACCGUCAUGAUCACCAUCGUCACCGGCGCGACACCUUGAUCUCCAUCGGAGCAUCGUUGUCGUCUCGCCAACUAUUGCUUUUACGACUAUCACUACCGCUUAGUGAUAAAGUAAAACAAUUACAUGGCGAUUGCAUUGCAUACAAUAAAGCGACAACCAUAUGGCUCCUGCCAGUUGCCGAUAACUCGGUUACAAAACAUGAUCAUCUCAUACAAUAAAAUAUAGCAUCAUGUCUUGACCAUAUCACAUCACAACAUGCCCUGCAAAAACAAGUUAGAUGUCCUCUACUUUGUUGUUGCAAGUUUUACGUGGCUGCUACGGGCUUAGCAACAACCGUUCUUACCUACGCAUCAAAACCACAACGAUAGUUUGUCAAGUUGGUGCUGUUUUAACCUUCGCAAGGACCGGGCGUAGCCACACUUGGUUCAACUAAAGUGAGAGAGACAGACACCCGCCAGUCACCUUUAAGCAACGAGUGCUCGCAACAGUGAAACCAGUCCUGCGUAAGCGUACGCGUAAUGUCGGUCCGGGCCGCUUCAUCUCACAAUACCGCUGAACCAAAAUAUGACACGCUGGUAAGCAGUAUGACUUAUAUCGCCCACAACUCACUUGUGUUCUACUCGUGCAUAUAACAUUAACGCAUAAAACCUGGCUCGGAUGCCACUGUUGGGUAACGUAGUAAUUUCAAAAAAAUUCCACGCACACGCAAGAUCAUGGUGAUGCAUAGCAACGAGAGGGGAGAGUGUUGUCCACGUACCCUCGUAGACCGAAAGCGGAAGCGUUAACACAACGCGGUUGAUGUAGUCGUACGUCUUCACGAUCCGACCGAUCAAGUACCGAACGCACGGCACCUCCGAGUUCAGCACACGUUCAGCUCGAUGACGUCCCUCGAACUCCGAUCCAGCUGAGUGUUGAGGGAGAGUUUCGUCAGCACGACGGCGUGGUGACAAUGAUGAUGUUCUACCGACGCAGGGCUUCGCCUAAGCACCGCUAUGAUAUUAUCGAGGUGUAAUAUGGUGGAGAGGGGCACCGCACACGGCUAAGAGAUCAAUGAUCAAUUGUGUGUUUAGAUGUGCCCCCCUGUCCCUGUAUAUAAAGGAGCAAGGGGGGUUCGGCCGGCCAAGGGGAGAGGCACGCCAGGAGGAGUCCUACUCCUACCGGGAGUAGGACUCCCCCCUUUUCCAUGUUGGACUAGGAGAGAGAGGGGGAAGAGGUGGAGGGGAGGAAGGAAGGGGGGGCGCCCCCCCCUCUCCUUGUACUUUUCGGACUGGGGGGAGGGGCGUGCGUGUGGGAAAUAUGCCCUAGAGGCAAUAAUAAAUGGUUAUUAUUAUAUUUCUUUGUUCAUGAUAAUUGUCUAUUGUUCAUGCUAUAAUUGUGUUAUCCGGAAAUCGUAAUACAUGUGUGAAUACAUAGACCACAACGUGUCCCUAGUAAGCCUCUAGUUGACUAGCUCGUUGAUCAACAGAUAGUCAUGGUUUCCUGACUAUGGACAUUGGAUGUCAUUGAUAACGGGAUCACAUCAUUAGGAGAAUGAUGUGAUGGACAAGACCCAAUCCUAAGCAUAGCAUAAAAGAUCGUGUAGUUCGUUUGCUAGAGCUUUUCCAAUGUCAAGUAUCUUUUCCUUAGACCAUGAGAUCGUGUAACUCCCGGAUACCGUAGGAGUGCUUUGGGUGUGCCAAACGUCACAACGUAACUGGGUGACUAUAAAGGUACACUACGGGUAUCUCUGAAAGUGUCUGUUGGGUUGGCACGGAUCGAGACUGGGAUUUGUCACUCCGUGUGACGGAGAGGUAUCUCUGGGCCCACUCGGUAAUGCAUCAUCAUAAUGAGCUCAAUGUGACUAAGGAGUUAGCCACGGGAUCAUGCAUUACGGUAGGAGUAAAGAGACUUGCCGGUAACGAGAUUGAACAAGGUAUAGGGAUACCGACGAUCGAAUCUCGGGCAAGUAACAUACCGAUUGACAAAGGGAAUUGAAUACGGGAUUGAUUGAAUCCUCGACAUCGUGGUUCAUCCGAUGAGAUCAUCAUGGAACAUGUGGGAGCCAACAUGGGUAUCCAGAUCCCGCUGUUGGUUAUUGACCGGAGAGGCGUCUCGGUCAUGUCUGCAUGUCUCCCGAACCCGUAGGGUCUACACACUUAAGGUUCGGUGACGCUAGGGUUGUAGAGAUAUGAGUAUGCGGAAACCCGAAAGUUGUUCGGAGUCUCGGAUGAGAUCCCGGACGUCACGAGGAGUUCCGGAAUGGUCCGGAGGUGAAGAAUUAUAUAUGGGAAGUCCAGUUUCGGCCACCGGGAAAGUUUCGGGGGUUAUCGGUAUUGUACCGGGACCACCGGAAGGGUCCCGGGGGUCCACCGGGUGGGGCCACCUAUCCCGAAGGGCCCCAUGGGCUGAAGUGGGAAGGGCACCAGCCCUUAGUGGGCUGGGCGCCCCCCUUGGGCCUCCCCCUGCGCCUAGGGUUGGAAACCCUAGGGGUGGGGGGCGCCCCACUUGGCUUGUGGGGGAAGCCACCCCACCUUCCCCCUUGGCCGCCGCCCCCCCAUGUAGAUGGGUUCUAGGCCGGCGCCCCCCCCCCCUCCCAGGGGGCCUAUAUAUAGUGGGGGGAGGGCAGCAACACAACAGCCCCUGGCGCCUCCCUCUCCCCCUGCAACACCUCUCCCUCUCGCAGAAGCUUGGCGAAGCCCUGCCGAGAUCCGGCUACAUCCACCACCACGCCGUCGUGCUGCUGGAUCUCCAUCAACCUCUCCUUCCCCCUUGUUGGAUCAAGAAGGAGGAGACGUCGCUGCUCGGUACGUGUGUUGAACGCGGAGGUGCCCUCCGUUCGGCACUCGGUCAUCGGUGAUUUGGAUCACGACGAGUACGACUCCAUCAACCCCGUUCAUUGGAACGCUUCCGCUCGCGAUCUACAAGGGUAUGUAGAUGCACUCCUUUCCCCUCAUUGCUAGUAUACUCCACAGAUGGAUCUUGGUGAUGCGUAGGAAAUUUUAAAAUUCUGCUACGAUCCCCAACAGUGGCAUCAUGAGCCAGGCCUAUGCGUAUUUACUAUGCACGAGUAGAACACAAAGAAGUUGUGGGCGUAGAUGUUGUCAAUUCUUCUUGCCACUACUAGUCUUAUCUUGUUUCGGCGGUAUUGUGGGAUGAAGCGGCCCGGACCGACCUUACACGUACGCUUACGUGAGACAGGUUCCACCGACUGACAUGCACUAGUUGCAUAAGGUGGCUAGCGGGUGUCUGUCUCUCCCACUUUAGUCGGAACGGAUUCGAUGAAAAGGGUCCUUAUGAAGGGUAAAUAGAAAUUGGCAUAUCACGUUGUGGUUUUACGUAGGUAAGAAACGUUCUUGCUAGAAACCUAUACAAGCCACGUAAAAACUUGCAACAACAAUUAGAGGACGUCUAACUUGUUUUUGCAGCAUGUGCUAUGUGAUGUGAUAUGGCCAGAAGAUGUGAUGAAUGAUAUAUGUGAUGUAUGAGAUUGAUCAUAUUCUUGUAAUAGGAAUCACGACAUGCAUGUCGAUGAGUAUGACAACCGGCAGGAGCCAUAGGAGUUGUCUUUAUUAUUUUGUAUGACCUGCGUAUCAUUGAAUAACGCCAUGUAAAUUACUUUACUUUAUUGCUAAACGUGUUAGCCAUAGAAGUAGAAGUAAUCGUUGGCGUGACAACUUCAUGAAGACACGAUGAUGGAGAUCAUGGUGUCAUGCCGGCGACGAAGAUGAUCAUGGUGCCCCGAAGAUGGAGAUCAGAGGAGCAAAAUGAUAUUGGCCAUAUCAUGUCACUAUUUGAUUGCAUGUGCUGUUUAUCAUGUUUUGCAUCUUAUUUGCUUAGAAUGAUGGUAGUAAGUAAGAUGAUCCCUUGUAAUAAUUUCAAGAAAGUGUUCCCCCUAACUGUGCACCGUUGCGAAGGUUCGUUGUUUCGAAGCACCACGUGAUGAUCGGGUGUGAUAGAUUCUAACGUUCGCAUACAACGGGUGUAAGCCAGAUUUACACACGCAAUACACUUAGGUUGACUUGAAGAGCCUAGCAUGUACAGACAUGGCCUCGGAACACGGAGGACCGAAAGGUCGAGCAUGAGUCGUAUAGAAGAUACGAUCAACAUGGAGAUGUUCACCGAUCUUGACUAGUCUGUCUCACGUGAUGAUCGGACACGGCCUAGUUACCUCGGAUCAUGUUUCACUUGGAUGACUAGAGGGAUGUCUAUCUGAGUGGGAGUUCAUUGAAUAAUUUGAUUAUAUGAACUUAAUUAUCAUGAACUUAGUCUAAAAUCUUUACAAUAUGUCUUGUAGUUCAAAUGGCCCACGUUGUCCUCAACUUCAACGCGUUCCUAGAGAAAACCAAGCUAAAAGAUGAUGGCAGCAACUAUACGGACUGGGAGGGAGGGCAGCAACACAACAACCCCUGGCGCCUCCCUCUCCCCCUGCAACACCUCUCCCUCUCGCAGAAUCUCGCAGGAAGAGCUGAAAAUGGUUUUCCAAGCUCAUGCCCGGGUCGAGAUAUAUGAAGUCUCCGACAAGUUCUUCAGCUGUAAAAUGGAGGAAAAUAGUUCUGUCAGUGAGCACAUACUCAGAAUGUCUGGGUUACACAACCGCUUGUCUCAGCUGGGAGUUAAUCUCCCGGAUGACGCAGUCAUUGACAGAAUCCUUCAGUCGCUUCCACCAAGCUACAAGAGCUUUGUGAUGAACUUCAAUAUGCAAGGGAUGGAAAAGACCAUUCCUGAGGUAUAUUCAAUGCUGAAAUCAGCGGAGGUGGAGAUCAGAAAGGAACAUCAAGUGUUGAUGGUGAAUAUAACCACUAAGUUCAAGAAGGGCAAGGGUAAAAAGAACUUCAAGAAGGACGGCAAGGGAGUUGCCGCGCCCGGUAAGCCAGUUGCCGGGAAGAAGUCAAAGAAUGGACCCAAGCCUGAGACUGAGUGCUUUUAUUGCAAGGGAAGUGGUCACUGGAAGCGGAACUGCCCCAAAUACUUAGCGGACAAGAAGGCCGGCAACACCAAAGGUAUAUGUGAUAUACAUGUAGUUGAUGUGUACCUUACCAGUACUCUAGUAGCUCCUGGGUAUUUGAUACCGGUGCGGUUGCUCAUAUUGUAACUCAAAACAGGAGCUGCGGAAUAAACGGAGACUGGCAAAGGACGAGGUGACGAUGCGCGUCGGGAAUGGUUCCAAGGUCGAUGUGAUCGCCGUCGGCACGUUGCCUCUGCAUUUACCUACGGGAUUAGUUUUAAACCUCAAUAAUUGUUAUUUAGUGCCAGCUUUGAGCAUGAACAUUGUAUCUGGAUCUCGUUUAAUUCGAGAUGGCUACUCAUUUAAAUCCGAGAAUAAUGCUUGUUCUAUUUAUAUGAGAGAAUGUUUUAUGGUCAUGCCCCGCUGGUCAAUGGUUUAUUCUUGAUGAAUCUCGAACGUGAUGUUACACAUAUUCAUAGUGUGAAUACCAAAAGAUGUAAAGUUGAUAACGAUAGUCCCACAUACUUGUGGCACUGCCGCCUUGGUCACAUUGGUGUCAAGCGCAUGAAGAAGCUCCAUGCAGAUGGACUUUUGGAGUCUCUUGAUUACGAAUCAUUUGACACGUGCGAACCAUGCCUCAUGGGUAAGAUGACCAAGACUCCGUUCUCCGGAACAAUGGAGCGAGCAACCAACUUAUUGGAAAUCAUACAUACCGAUGUGUGCAGUCCAAUGAGUGUUGAGGCUCGCGGAGGAUAUCGUUAUGUUCUCACUCUCACUGAUGACUUAAGUAGAUAUGGGUAUGUCUACCUAAUGAAACACAAGUCUGAAACCUUUGAAAAGUUCAAGGAAUUUCAGAGUGAGGUUGAGAAUCAACGUGACAGGAAAAUAAAGUUCUUACGAUCAGAUCGUGGAGGAGAAUAUUUAAGUCACGAAUUUGGUACACACUUAAGGAAAUGUGGAAUCGUUUCACAACUCACGCCGCCUGGAACACCUCAGCAAAAUGGUGUGUCCGAACGUCGUAAUCGCACUCUAUUGGAUAUGGUGCGGUCUAUGAUGUCUCUUACCGAUCUACCGCUCUCAUUUUGGGGCUAUGCUUUCGAGACUGCCGCAUUUACUUUAAAUAGGGCUCCGUUGAGACGACACCGUAUGAAUUAUGGUUUGGGAAGAAACCUAAGCUGUCGUUUCUAAAAGUUUGGGGAUGCGAUGCUUAUGUCAAGAAACUUCAACCUGAAAAGCUCAAACCCAAGUCGGAGAAAUGCGUCUUCAUAGGAUACCCUAAGAAAACCAUUGGGUAUACCUUCUACCUCAGAUCCGAAGGCAAGAUCUUUGUUGCCAAGAAUGGGUCCUUUCUGGAGAAAGAGUUUCUAUCGAAAGAACUGAGUGGGAGGAAAGUGGAACUUGAUGAGGUGAUAGUCACCCCUUCCGAACCGGAAAGUAGCGCAGCGCGGGAAGAUGUUCCUGUGGUGCCUACACCGACUGGGGAGGAAGUUAAUGAUGAUGAUCAUGAAGCUUCGGAUCAAGUUACUGCUGAACUUUGAAGGUCCACAAGGACACGUUCCGCACCAGAGUGGUACGGCAACCCUGUCCUGGAAAUCAUGUUGUUAGACAACGGUGAACCUUCGAACUAUGAAGAAGCGAUGGCGGGCCCGGAUUCCGACAAAUGGCUAGAAGCCAUGAAAUCCGAGAUAGGAUCCAUGUAUGAAAACGAAGUAUGGACUUUGACUGACUUGCCCGAUGAUCGGCGAGCCAUAGAAAAUAAAUGGAUCUUUAAGAAGAAGACAGACGCGGAUGGUAAUGUGACCAUCUAUAAGGCUCGACUUGUCGCUAAGGGUUAUCGACAAGUUCAAGGGGUUGACUACGAUGAGACUUUCUCACCCGUAGCGAAGCUGAAGUCCGUCCGAAUCAUGUUAGCAAUUGCCGCAUUCUAUGAUUAUGAGAUAUGGCAAAUGGACGUCAAAACGGCAUUCCUUAACGGCUUCCUUAAGGAAGAAUUGUAUAUGAUGCAGCCGGAAGGUUUUGUCGAUCCUAAGAAUGCUAACAAAGUAUGCAAGCUCCAGCGCUCAAUCUAUGGGCUGGUGCAACCAUCUCGGAGUUGGAACAUUCGCUUUGAUGAGAUGAUCAAAGUGUUUGGGUUUACACAGACUUAUGGAGAAGCCUGUGUUUACAAGAAAGUGAGUGGGAGCUCUGUAGCAUUUCUCAUAUUAUAUGUGGAUGACAUACUAUUGAUGGGAAAUGAUAUAGAAUUCUUGGAAAGUAAAAAGGCCUAUUUGAAUAAGUGUUUUUCAAUGAAGGACCUUGGAGAAGCUGCUUAUAUAUUAGGCAUCAAGAUCUAUAGAGAUAGAUCAAGACGCCUCAUUGGUCUUUCAUAGAGUACGUACCUUGACAAGAUAUUGAAGAAGUUCAAUAUGGAUCAGUCCAAGAAGGGGUUCUUGCCUGUAUUGCAAGGUGUGCAAUUGAGCACGGCUCAAUGCCCGACCACGGCAGAAGAUAGAGAAAAGAUGAGUGUCAUCCCCUAUGCCUCGGCCAUAGGGUCUAUUAUGUAUGCCAUGCUGUGUACCAGACCUGAUGUAAACCUUGCCGUAAGUUUGGUAGGAACGUACCAAAGUAAUCCCGGCAUGGAACACUGGACAGCGGUCAAGAAUAUCCUGAAGUACCUGAAGAGGACUAAGGAUAUGUUUCUCGUUUAUGGAGGUGACGAAGAGCUCGUCGUAAAGGGUUACGUCGACGCUAGCUUCGACACAGAUCUGGAUGACUCGAAGUCACAAACCGGAUACGUGUAUAUUUUGAAUGGAGGGGCGGUAAGCUGGUGCAGUUGCAAGCAAAGCGUCGUGGCGGGAUCUACAUGUGAAGCGGAGUACAUGGCGGCCUCAGAGGCAGCACAGGAAGCGGUCUGGAUAAAGGAGUUCAUUACCGACCUAGGGGUGAUUCCCAAUGCGUCGGGCCCGAUGACUCUCUUCUGUGACAACACUGGAGCUAUUGCCCUUGCCAAGGAGCCCAGGUUUCACAGGAAGACCAGGCAUAUCAAGCGUCGCUUCAACUCCAUUCGUGAAAGUGUUCAGAAUGGAGACAUAGAUAUUUGUAAAGUACAUACGGACCUAAAUGAAGCAGAUCCGUUGACUAAACCUCUCCCUAGAGCAAAACAUGAUCAACACCAGGACGCUAUGGGUGUUCGAUUCAUCACAAUGUAACUAGAUUAUUGACUCUAGUGCAAGUGGGAGACUGUUGUAAAUAUGCCCUAGAGGCAAUAAUAAAUGGUUAUUAUUAUAUUUCUUUGUUCAUGAUAAUUGUCUAUUGUUCAUGCUAUAAUUGUGUUAUCCGGAAAUCGUAAUACAUGUGUGAAUACAUAGACCACAACGUGUCCCUAGUAAGCCUCUAGUUGACUAGCUCGUUGAUCAACAGAUAGUCAUGGUUUCCUGACUAUGGACAUUGGAUGUCAUUGAUAACGGGAUCACAUCAUUAGGAGAAUGAUGUGAUGGACAAGACCCAAUCCUAAGCAUAGCAUAAAAGAUCAUGUAGUUCGUUUGCUAGAGCUUUUCCAAUGUCAAGUAUCUUUUCCUUAGACCAUGAGAUUGUGUAACUCCCGGAUACCGUAGGAGUGCUCUGGGUGUGCCAAACGUCACAACGUAACUGGGUGACUAUAAAGGUACACUACGGGUAUCUCUGAAAGUGUCUGUUGGGUUGGCACGGAUCGAGACUGGGAUUUGUCACUCCGUGUGACGGAGAGGUAUCUCUGGGCCCACUCGGUAAUGCAUCAUCAUAAUGAGCUCAAUGUGACUAAGGAGUUAGCCACGGGAUCAUGCAUUACGGUACGAGUAAAGAGACUUGCCGGUAACGAGAUUGAACAAGGUAUUGGGAUACCGACGAUCGAAUCUCGGGCAAGUAACAUACCGAUUGACAAAGGGAAUUGAAUACGGGAUUGAUUGAAUCCUCGACAUCGUGGUUCAUCCGAUGAGAUCAUCGUGGAACAUGUGGGAGCCAACAUGGGUAUCCAGAUCCCGCUGUUGGUUAUUGACCAGAGAGGCGUCUCGGUCAUGUCUGCAUGUCUCCCGAACCCGUAGGGUCUACACACUUAAGGUUCGGUGACGCUAGGGUUGUAGAGAUAUGUGUAUGCGGAAACCCGAAAGUUGUUCGGAGUCCCGGAUGAGAUCCCGGACGUCACGAGGAGUUCUGGAAUGGUUCGGAGGUGAAGAAUUAUAUAUGGGAAGUCCAGUUUCGGCCAUAGGGAAAGUUUCGGGGGUUAUCGGUAUUGUACCGGGACCACUGGAAGGUUCCCGGGGGUCCACCGGGUGGGGCCACCUAUCCCGGAGGGCCCCAUGGGCUGAUGUGGGAAGGGAAGCAGCCCUUAGUGGGCUGGGGCGCCCCCCCUUGGGCCUCCCCCUGCGCCUAGGGUUGGAAACCCUAGGGGUGGGGGGCGCCCCACUUGGCUUGGGGGGGAAGCCACCCCCUUUCCCCCUUGGCCGCCCCCCCCAUGUAGAUGGGUUCUAGGCCGGCGCCCCCCCUCCCAGGGGGGCUAUAUAUAGUGGGGGGAGGGAGGGCAGCAACACAACAGCCCCUGGCGCCUCCCUCUCCCCCUGCAACACCUGCCGAGAUCCCGCUACAUCCACCACCACGCCGUCGUGCUGCUGGAUCUCCAUCAACCUCUCCUUCCCCCUUGCUGGAUCAAGAAGGAGGAGACGUCGCUGCUCCGUACGUGUGUUGAACGCGGAGGUGCCCUCCGUUCGGCACUCGGUCAUCGGUGAUUUGGAUCACGGCGAGUACGACUCCAUCAACCCCGUUCAUUGGAACGCUUCCGCUCGCGAUCUACAAGGGUAUGUAGAUGCACUCCUUUCCCCUCGUUGCUAGUAUACUCCAUAGAUGGAUCUUGGUGAUGCGUAGGAAAUUUUAAAAGUCUGCUAUGAUCCCCAACAGUGCGGCCCUGCCCUGGCCUCCUCUCCUCUCUUCCACCUAGGCCCACUAAGGCCCAUUAAGUUACCGGGGGGUUCCGGUAACCUCCCGGUACUCCGAAAAAAUCCCGAUUUCACCCGGAACACUUCCGAUAUCCAAACAUAGGCUUCCAAUAUAUCAAUAUUUAUGUCUCGACCAUUUCGAGACUCCUCGUCAUGUCCGUGAUCACAUCCGGGACUCCGAACAACCUUCGGUACAUCAAAACAUAUAAACUCAUAAUAUAACUGUCAUCGUAACGUUAAGCGUGCGGACCCUACAGGUUCGAGAACUAUGUAGACAUGACCGAGACACCUCUCCGGUCAAUAACCAAUAGCAGAACCUGGAUGCUCAUAUUGGCUCCCACAUAUUCUACGAAGAUCUUUAUCGGUCAGACCGCAUAACAACAUACGUUGUUCCCUUUGUCAUCGGUAUGUUACUUGCCCGAGAUUCGAUCGUUGGUAUCUCGAUACCUAGUUUAAUCUCGUUACCGGCAAGUCUCUUUACUCGUUUCGUAAUACAUCAUCCCGCAACUAACUCAUUAGUUACAAUGCUUGCAAGGCUUAUAGUGAUGUGUAUUACUGAGUGGGCCCAGAGAUACCUUUCCGACAAUCGGAGUGACAAAUCCUAAUCUCGAAAUACGCCAACCCAACAAGUACCUUUGGAGACACCUGUAGAGCACCUUUAUAAUCACCCAGUUACGUUGUGACGUUUGGUAGCACACAAAGUGUUCCUCCGGUAAACGGGAGUUGCAUAAUCUCAUAGUCAUAGGAACAUGUAUAAGUCAUGAAGAAAGCAAUAGCAACAUACUAAACGAUCGAGUGCUAAGCUAACGGAAUGGGUCAAGUCAAUCACAUCAUUCUCCUAAUGAUGUGAUCUCGUUAAUCAAAUGACAACUCAUGUCUAUGGCUAGGAAACAUAACCAUCUUUGAUCAACGAGCUAGUCAAGUAGAGGCAUACUAGUGACACUCUGUUUGUCUAUGUAUUCACACAUGUAUUAUGUUUCCGGUUAAUACAAUUCUAGCAUGAAUAAUAAACAUUUAUCAUGAUAUAAGGAAAUAAAUAAUAACUUUAUUAUUGCCUCUAGGGCAUAUUUCCUUCAAAUAUUUAACCCGGAGCACAACCUAUCAAGUUUGUUCUUGUGUUUAUUUUACAGGAUCAGUUUAACAUGGAUGUAUCCAAAUUAAACAGGGGGCUAAUGUCGGGGAUAUACCCCGCGGUAUGACCCGGCCGGGAGUAUGACCCGGCCGGACUUGGCGCUUCAUCGUAACCCGAUGGAGGAUUGGCGACUCAUGAGCCUAGUGAUUUAAUGAUGGCCCCGAUGGCGGAUCAGACAGAAGAGUAGGCCCAAGGCCCAGAAGGCCGGCUCAUGUUAUGGUGGGCCGGUUUAUGAGGAAAGGCAUAAGGAAUAUUCUCCUACCAAGGAAGCAAGACCCGGACUUGUAUUCAACUUGUAAGAAAAGAUAGACUAGUCUUAGUCCUACUAGGACUCCGCAUGUAACCCGCCCCUCUAACUUAUAUAAGGAGGGGCAGGGCACCCCAAAGAGGGACAGACAAGACAAGAAACAAUCUCUAGGGCUAAACACCGAGAGCCGGUUCCCGGCGACUCUCCCGUGAUCAUAAUGAGACCUAACCUCAAACAACAUGUAGGGUUAUUACCGGAUGAUGUUUCCCGGGGCCCGAAGUUGUCUAAAUCCUUGUCUUGUGUUGCGUGUCCCGAUUCCGCUCAACCCCUCUCAAGCUACCACAUAGAUGCGUUGGCCUCGCGACUAAAUCCUGACACUAAGGACAUCUGCCGUGACAAUUCCACGACAGUUGGCGCCCAGCGUGGGGCUACGGGCGCGUGGAUUCAGAUGUCGAUGGGUCCAAUCUUCAUCAAAAACAGCUGUCGUCGCCGCAUCAAACCAGUGUCUUGUGCGCUUGGGCAGCUUUAUCCACAUAGGCGCGGGAUUCGACAUCAACUUCAAAUCGAGAUCAGAAUUCUAGUGGUGGUGUACAUCAGGAGGAAAAGAAAAUUUUCUAGCGGUGACCGAGCGAUCCUCAGGACCAAAUCCGGUUGCCAUAGAUCUCCAGAUGCCUGUCAGUUUGGCACCACCAUGACUCCCCGCGGUACAGAUGACUGCAUCAAUAAAAAAAUAAAGGCCAUGGCGGCGCAGUAAAGGGCAUCAAGGAAACCGAGAGCAGCAGCAAGCCUGAUGAAGGCCGCUCCUAGUGCUGCCACGCCCCCCUACAGGAACAAGAGGCCGCAGUCUCCUGAGAUCAUUGGACAUCGGCUGAUAUUCACCAAGAGUCCAUGACCGAGGCGGACUCUGCAGCACCAGGCAAUUUAUUCAGUGCAGGAAAGAUCGAGCCUGAAACAGUUUAAAAUCCCGUUGUCCGAAGAAGACCACAAGAAGGACGGGUACUACAUCGACAAUAAUCAUCAUGGCCAGUCUGCUACACACAUCGCCUGAACAAACAUCACAAAAAUACAAAACCAAUGUUCAGCGGCGGUGAUAGCAACGCAGUCCAUAUGCACCAAGUAGUACUACACUUGAUGUGCAUCAAGUCCAUCCGCGCAGGCCCCAAGAAAUCAGGAAAACAAUUAGUGCCACUUAUACUACAACAGAAGGCACAAGUCCCAAAGUGGCAUGGCUUCACGUGGGUUCAAGAGCAAUAUAGAUCAUCAGUACGCAUCAGACUGUAUAAUUUCUACUGCGGUUUACAGCUUCCGAUGAAUUCUCAGAUCCGUCGCUUCCACGAGCUCCAAACUUGUCGCACGGAUCUCUCGACAAAAUUCGUCGCACGGGCCCCUACUAUGGAUCCUCACGUGAACCUCGACGCACAGCGAGCCGACGACGCCUACGAUCCGGCCUGCACCAUCAAAACUGAGACCUAUGCCUGACGUACAUGCGCGCAGUUCCAGCGGACCAGUCUACAUCAAAGACACUGGAGCCGGAAGCCGCAUCAGCGUCUGUCCAUACGGCAGCGCCCGAUAGAUAUGCGCACAGUGCGUCGUCCCGCGGUUUGGCCUACUGCAACAUGUCGGAGCUAAAAAAGAAUCAAGAUGAUAGCCCGUGCGUGCCAGAUGAUAGCCCGUGCGUGCCUCUCCACCUUGAAAUUUUUUGACUUCAAUCGCGGCCGGUUUCGCCAACAUCGUGACCUUCUUCGAGACCAACCAAGUUGGCUUGCACUGCGCCAUCUCCUGUUCGGCGGUUUUUUCUGCUACACGUCUUCAAAAAUUCCAGCUUCCGCCGCCGGCUCGAACCGUCAGCUGGGUUACCGAUUUGUGACUCCUACGCGGGAUCGUCUACUGCCUCGCUAUGGUCGACCCCAACGGUCCGCUGGCUUAUGCCACAUCAUAAAAAUAAGCUAAGUCACUUUUAUAUUUUAAUUUUGUUUUUUUCAAUAAAUUAAAUAUAUCCGACACAUUUGAGUUAAUCUCAGGGGCUAUCGUUUCUUCUCAUAAAGUUGAGUCGUAAGGUUACCAAAGAGGACUAUUUGCCACGAUGCACAGUUCAAACAUGGGUGCCCUACAUAGCAGCGCAAUAAUUUGACGUUCGUUCUUUACUAAGUCAGAUGCAACUCGUAACCGACCAAGUAGUGGGUAUGGUAUUGUCAAUCGACUCGGAUGCCUAUCAUGGACUUUGUCGACCCUAAACAUAUCAUAUUCCAUGAAAAAAGUCCACGCGCAAGCCUACUUAGUCGAUUCGAACGAUUAACAACUUGAACACAAGUUGACAAAGUCAUCGAAAUUAUUAUUUAAUUUUGUUUUAUACAUCACGAACGAUGUAAUGCAUUCAUGUGUUUUAUUUCAGGAACAAAGAGCAUCAAGACGACUCCUCGAGUCGCCUCGAGCUUCAGGGGCUAUCAAGCUAGAAUUUGUGAAAAAACAGACUUUGUUUGUUACCGAAACACAAGUUCACAGACCCCCGGGUUGUUAAAGGCCUAAACAAACCCAGCGCUCGGGGGCUACAGAUUAUAUACAUGCUAUUGGAGUUGGAAACAAUUCGGAAAGACCUGGCUAGGGAAGACCCGGCUUGGAGACAGAAUCCAGCCUGGGAGGACAACCCAACAACAUCAACAUCGACGCUUCAUGACCCGACAAUCUCUUCAUCCACAUUUCGGCAUCAAUUACGUCAAUGACCCGGCAAAAAGCUCCGCGUUCAAGGAAGACAAAAGCAUCAACAAAAUCAAGACCUUUCGCCCGACUCUUCGAGUCACCCGAAAGCUUGGGGGCUACUGUCGUGGAUAUGGGACACGGGUAUCCUCAUGGAGGUAGGCCGCGGCCCAUCAUGGGAGGUGGCCCAGCAGGCCGACUUAAACACUUUGAAUAAGACCUGGAUUGAUAUCCACCUUGUAAUUGAAAAGAGACUAGUCCUAAUCCUACUAGGACUCUACAUGUAAGCCGGCCCCUUCAACUUAUAUAAGGAGGGGCAAGGCUCCCCAAGAGGGACAAGUAAGAAGCUCAAUAAUCUCUAGGGCUAGACACAACUAGAGGAGAGCCGGCUUAUACAGCGACUCCCUCAUGAGCAUACGGAAUAAGACCUAGCCACAAACAGCAUGUAGGGUUAUUACCGGAUGAUGUUUCCCGGGGCUCGAAGCUGUCUAAAUCCUUGUCUUGUGUUGUGUCUCUCGAUUCCGCUCAACCCCUCUCAAGCUACCACAUAGAUGCGUUGGCCUCGCGACUAAGUCCUGACACUAAGGACAUCUGCCGUGAUAAUUCCACGACAGAACCCAUGGCCUCGGACUACCAUUCGGGUGGACCAACGGCGUUCCGACAAAACCGAUCUACUGCCAUGACACUCUCCCGGCCACUCUGACUCACUCCCCUCUGGGCUAAGUCAUGGGUGGCCCUGUGUCUACCUCAAGACACAACGACCACCGUCGUGGCCCAAAACAAUAAACCAUCCCAAACGGGGACAUGUGCACAUAACAACAACAACGGGCACACAAGGCUUAUGUCCGCCUACCUGAUCAGGGUAGCACGCGCCCAUAACCUUCCCUCGUUGGAGGCACCGGCGAGAGGCACAACAAUAGACCCAGUUAGGACCGUCCCAUACCGGUAAGCGUGGUUGCAUUGGUCAGCAUCGAUUCAGCGGCACCAUGACUCAGCUAACAGUUGUUCAAGUUCAAUUUAAUCCGAUUAACUUGAAUGCAAAUAUGCUGAGCCAUGAUAAAAAUGCAUGAACAUGAUAUCAAUAUAAUCAUGAGGGUAUCACAUAACUAUCCACCAUAUCAACAAUAAAUCAUAUCCACUGAGCAUGGCAUACUGACUAGCAUGACCAUCACCAACAUCAACAUGUACUACUGGCAAGUAUAAACAUAUGAAAGGAAAUACUAGCAGGUAGAACAUGAUAACAGAGUACAAGACAACCUAGCACAAAAGUGAACAUGCAAAUCUAAACAUCAUCGGAACAACGAUAACCAUCUUUUCAACAAGCAAACAUUUAAUAAAGAUUCAAGUUGAAAACCAUGGCUACUGCAUGACUAUCAUGCAAGUGGGUAUUGUGGCUUGCCUGGGGUGGAAGAAAUCAGCGGGAGAAAGUGUGAGAAGCUCGCGGAAUGAAUCGCUAGAAAACGUUCUCUCUCGGAGAGGGCUGAAUAAGGGCAAGGGCAUAAUGGUCAUUUUCACAAUGUCAAACCAUAGUGAAAGCAUGGCCAACAGAACGGGCUCGACCAAACGAAGAAGUAGGCUUUGGAUUCACCUCAUUUGGAGCUACGGUUAAAAAGUUAUGGAGGAUUGAAGUUCAGGGACUUUUCUGUAAAAAUUUCAUCACAAACAAGUCCCUGAGUGGAUAAGGAAGAAACACAAAGUUAGAAAUACGCUUCCGGUCAGCGAAAACGUAAAACG
rnacentral:lncRNA from 1 species